rfam:Yarrowia lipolytica strain CLIB122 chromosome F complete sequence.
GGGCUGUUGGUGUAGUGGUAACAUAUCUGCCUUCCAUUCGAUUGUUAGCAGGUGCCAGGGGUUCAAUUCCCCUACAGCUCA